CCUACGGGAGGCAGCAGUGAGGAAUAUUGGUCAAUGGGCGCAAGCCUGAACCAGCCAAGUCGCGUGAGGGAUGACGGUCCUAUGGAUUGUAAACCUCUUUUGUCGGGGAGCAAGGCCCGCCACGUGUGGCGGGAAGGAGAGUACCCGAAGAAAAAGCAUCGGCUAACUCCGUGCCAGCAGCCGCGGUAAUACGGAGGAUGCGAGCGUUAUCCGGAUUUGUUGGGUUUAAAGGGUGCGUAGGCGGAAGGUUAAGUCAGCGGUCAAAUGUCGUUGCUAAACACCGGCCUGCCGUGGAAACUGGUCUUCUUGAGUGAGCGAGAAGGAUGCGGAAUGCGUGGUGGAGCGGGGAAAUGCAUAG
rnacentral:rRNA from 1 species